rnacentral:lncRNA from 10 species
ACCGCGCCCGUGCGUCUGCGCGCCUGGCCGCCAGGUGACCCAGCAGCCCGGCCGCCGAGAUGCCCAACCCGCCCAGGCUCCGGGCGCUGUGACUUCGCGCCGCUGUGUGCGCCUCCCCGAGCGCCGGCUGCGCCCCCCAGCCCGGCCCGGGGCCUACCGCCUGCCCGGCCCCCUGCCACUGCCAGGAGGACGGCAUCAUGCUGUCUGCCGACUGCUCUUGAGCUUGGGCUGUCCGCCAUACCGGGGGACCUGGAUCCCCUGACGGCUUACCUGUGAGUACUGCCCGCCUGUCUCCACCUGGUACUGCGGGCUGCUGGCUUGCACCCAGUCCUGGCCUCAGCAGGACACCUGCUUGCUUGGUGCCCUGGGGCGUGGGCAUCCCGGAGAGGGUUCACCCCCUUCCAAGUUGACCGUUGCGGGACUGGGGAGGGGAGAAGAGUCUGAGACUAAAUAUCAGGCGAGCAGGGAGACCAGGCUUCCCUGACUUGGCUUCCCCAUUGGCCUCCGUGCUUGUGGGCUGACUGCGGGAGCCCAGGUUUGGCAAGGUGGGUUCUGGACCCUAAGCGGGAGGGCGCGGGGCUGGCUCCCCCAUCUCCUGUUGCUGCAUUCUCUUCCAGCAGAGCAGUGCCCAGGAUGGUGGCUGAGGGUAAAGCUGACAGAACUGGAGGUGGAGGUGAGGGGAGCGUGCCCCAGUGGGGUGGAAAUAAUGUCUGUUCUUCUGCCAUGGUGAGGACAACAGGGCUGUCACACUGAGGCUGGGUGGCCUUCUUUGGGGGGGGGGUCCCAGAAGCUGGGAGGGGGGCCUUAUCCACUCUUGUCUCCUCAGAAAGGGACUCUGCCAGCACCAUCUCCCUUUACUGGGGCCUCCCGGCUCCCCCAGGGGCCUCCCUAAAGUCAUGUCCCAAGAGGCUGUGUUGGAGACACUAAUUUGUGGGCAGGCGCGGAGGCUGAAAAGCGGAGAACCAUUUUUAGCGUCUGAGUUGGGGUGAGAUGGCCCGUGAAGGGGACCCUAUUGGGGGCAGCUGUCCUGUCCGUCUGGCUCACAGGAGCUUCCCCUCAGAGCUGGAGGGCUGGGGGCUCUCGCUGCUUACCACAUGGGCAGGAGGAGGGUGAGAGAGCACAUUCCAGGCCACCUACCCGCACCCCCAGCCCCGCUCUGGGGAAAGGAGACCUCCUCCAGCCCAGCUCUGCAGGCUCCAUCAACUUCCUCAGAGGAGCUGGGAGCAGGUGGGAAAGCCUGGGGCCUUCUGCUGAGGGCUAGGAUCCCAGAGCUCCUUCUGGCCUGAGAGAGACCCCUCAUGGCUUCUAGCAUGUGGGAGUUCUAGCACGUGGGAGCUUAGAGGAAGAGGACGCUGGGCGAAUCUUUAUAGGGGCCUAGCAAGAAUUUGUGGAACUAAAAGGAUGCUCAGUGUUGGCAGUGUCCUGGUGGGAGGCAGAGGGUCCCAGAUGGCAACUCUUCAUGGGGCUCCUCUCCAAAUGUCCCUGUCCCUAGGUUGGGAUGUCCUCCUCCACUCCAAAAGGCACAGGCUGUGGGCCAGGAAGUAGCAGGCCAGAGAGGACUCGAAGAUCCUUAGAAGGAGCCAUAGACGGAACCAUAGGAGGCGCCCAGGAGCUAUGGGCUCCAGAAGUUUCCUCCUAAACUGUGGUCUCAGCGAGGCUCAUUGACACUCACCGGGGUUUCGACAUUCUCCCUGGCUAGGGCCUGUUCUGGAAAUAGACCAAGGGGGAGAUGGAGCCCCUGGCCGUGGGACAUCCAAUCUGAUGGUGAUGAGAAGGCAUGAUGCCUCUUGUUCUAUUCUUUUUUGUUUCUUCUUUUUUUUUAAAUAAAAAAGACCAGUAAUGUGCUGACUUCAUAACAAGGUUUGAGGGAGGCACUUCUCACACGUGAGCAUGAAAACCCAAUCGUCACGCUUCUUAACUGCAAAAGGAUCACCUCUUGUUCUAUUGUAUUGCAUGUACACAUGAUGCACAGACAGGAAUACACAGACAGCAAAUAACUUGUUGGGCAGAUAAUCCCCGGAGUUGUUCCUGAGUAGAAAGAUCUGGGUAGUUACUCUGGGCCCCCAAGGCUGAGCAGUGUCAGUAAACAGAUGGUGCCAGAAAAGGUAUCUCACGCAGCUAGUUGUGAAAGACGUCAGGCUCAUGCACUUGCAGUCACACCUAAGCACCCAUUUUCAUAGCCCACUGCCACCAGGGCUGAGGGAGGGGCCGCUACACCAUGCAACCCCCACUUCAGACUGCUGUUUGCUUUCUUGGGAAUUAUAACUUUAAGAUUGCCUGUGAUAACUGAUAACCACUGGACUUGUUUGAAAGGUUAGAUGGUGUGUGCAUGUGUGUCUGUAUGUGCGUGUGUGUCUGUGUGUGUCUGCGUGUUUCUCUGUGUGUGUGUAGAUACAGGGUAAUUUGCAGGGGAUGUCUACAGCCAAAAUGAUGGAGGCAGGAUGCUGGAGGCAGAGAGUAAGGGGUUGUGGCAUUUGCCACAACAAAGCAGAGUUCAAACUAUCACUUACUAGCUAUGUAACCCCCAGCCAGUUGAUUAGCCCUUCUGUGACUUAGUUUCCUCACCUGUAAACAGGGUUAAGAUCUACCUCAUAGGGUUGUUGUGUGGAUUCACUUAGAUGAUGUUUGCAAAGGGUUUGGCAUAAUGUCUGGUACAUGGGAAGAGCUCAAUAAAUGUUAGCCAGUGCUGUUAUUAGGAUAACCAGGGCGAAGAAAUGUCAGUCAUGGAAGUCUUCCUGGAGGAGGAAGUCCUGGAGCUAGCAUGGGAGGGAGGGAAGCAGGCCUAUUCUAUGAAAGGUGUAGGAUAGGUGUGUGUGUAGUUGCGGGCUGUGAGAGGUGCAAGAAGCUGCGAAGAAGAUGGAAUGAGCUCUGCUGGGAACCCAGAGUAAUUUUAGGGUUUUUUUUUUUUGUUUUUUUUUUUUUUAGAAUACAGUCUGAAAAACCAGGGAGGGGAGGGGAGCACCUGAUGGAAGACGCCAGCGUGCUCCCUUACAUGGUCUAGACGGGCCCCUGCAGGGGCUACAGAUGAGGAGGCAGAGAAACAGGCGGCCUUAACAGGGGAGAGCCAGCCUUGGAGAGGAUGUAUUGUGAAUUGGGGGUGGGGGUGCCAACGUGCCAGGUCUCAUUUCUCACUUCCAAGGCCACCCUUCCCUGGCCCAGUCUUAGUCGCCCUUUCUAAUAGAUUCUAAGAGUUUGACUCCUCCUUCCGGAAACUUGGGGUUUGUGAGUUCUAAUCUUCAGUCUCUCAGUUGCUAUGAGACCCUGUGCAAGUCCCAAAACUUCCCUGGACCUCAAUGUCCAGAGAAGCCAUGUUUUGGAUGAAAAACUAGAAAGUGGGAGAGGCAGGGCGCAAUCCUCUUUGAGUCUCCUGCUCCUGGUGUGGGACAGAGAAAGCUCCCAGGGAGAGCUGCUCAGCUGCAGGCAGUGAGGGAAGGGAAGGAGGGAAGGGGAGGACCCAGGCAGCAUCCAGACCAGGGUGGGGAAGAGAACUUAUUCUUAAGCAACUUAUUCUUAAGCAGCUUCCUGUUCUCUUAGCCUUGAACUUGAAGCCAGGAAUAGGGACAGGGAUAGAAGAGCCAAGGCUUGGAGCCGCUGGCCUAUGCAGAUGCACUUGCUUGUCCAGCAACAGUUGGACAGGGCCUGGCCUGGGCAAUGUGCUCCGGGGUGCAUGGAAAAUGUGGUCAUUCUUUGUCCGGGGGAUUCUUCUUAUUCCCUCCCAUUUCUCUUUACAGAGAAUUUUACACUUCCUUGCAGACACUGAAUUAUUGUGUUAAAUUAUUAUAACUUAAUAGCUUGUGAAAUAUACAAACAACAAGAUUAUGCCGACAUGGCUGUUAGAAGACAAGACAAAUUAGCAGACUCAUGCUCAUUUCUGUCAUUGAACAAUUCGUCUCAUUCCUUCCUCAAGGCGCUGCCGUUUUCCUGCUCUCCGUCCGUGGGGGUGUUUGUUUACACAUCUCUCGCAAGAAAAGCGCUUCUCUCUGGCUUCCCUCUGCCUCCCCCCCUCCUUCCUGCCCUCUCCCCUGCCUUCCCUUCCUCCUUCCUUCUCUCCCUCCCUCCUUUUCUCCCCGUUCCUUUCUUCCCUUCUCUCUGUCCUUCCCCCUUCCUUCCUUUACUGAUGUAACAACCUUGGUGUGCCGUGGCUAAGCCACACUCCACCCCUGACCUGCGGGGGAUGAGUCAAACGGUCAGACUUGCCUGGGCUUGUUCCACGCUCCCCUGGCUAGACAGGCGUCUACACAUUCUCAGUUAGGGGCUGGACAGGGGCAGCUGCUAGACAGGUCCUAUUCUGGGCCUCUCUGAGAAAAAGUGUCCCUGAAAAGAAAGGGAGCUCCCACUUCCAUGGACCCUUAGCCAUGCCAAGGGGCAGUACCGGCUUUCUGCUGGUGCUGAUGAGCUGUGGUGUGAACUCACGAAGGUCAGCUGAUUCACGGGCCCUGGAUCUCUGCUCUCCUUCCGCUAAGUGGGACUCGGGCCAGCCUGCCAUGAAGGAGGUAGCUGCUGCAGCUUUCAGGAAGGAACACCAGGUGUCAACCCCACCGGGUGGCCAACCCCACCUGGCUAGGACCCAGUCCCUGGUGGCUGCUCUCCCGAGAGGCGGGCAGGGCUGGGGCUAGGGGCUGUCCAGGAGUGUUCUGGACUGUCCCUUCGCCACAAUUCCCACAGGCUGCUCAGGACCGAGGCUGAGACGGGCGACCAGGACGGGAUUGUAUGGCUGCAGGAGGCUACACAGUCCCAGGAGGCUGCUUCUAAGAGGCCCACGUGGCCUGCAUGGGGAUGCGCCUGGCUGUCCAGCAUGUGGUCAUUUGAAUUGUACAUGUUUCACUGGGAUGCCUACAGAAAAGUAGACAGAAGAUGUGGAAAAAGUUUUUGAAAUGUUGCAAACUUAGCUACUUUUAAAAUAAAAAAAAUAGCUUUAUAAUUAUAAAAGCAAUAUGUAAAUCUUAAAAUAAUUUGCUACAUUCUAGUAAGCAUCUUAUGAUCUCUAUGUGCCCUAUAACAUUAUGUUGUAUAGUUUAAAUAUAUACAAUAAAAUCUAUUUUAAAAAAUAGCAGGCAAUUAAAUCUCAUUUUAAAAAGAGUCAGUUUAACUCCCUUCUAAUUUCUACCCCUCGUUUUCCCUCUGUGUGUGUGUAUGUGUGUAUGUCAUCUUCGUUAAAUGGCUCAAUGCAUUCCGAAUAUUUUUUCCGUUGUCUUCAUGAUAUAUUCAUGGGAAGGGGAGUAUGUGGCUUAUUGCUGUUAGUUUAUCAAUAGAGAAUGCUGGCCAAAUGUCUUUAAGAGUAAUGACGAUCUCAAUAGCGGUAAUGACAGCUACCACUUUCGGAGCUCCUCCUGCCUACCAGGCACCACUGGGGUCCCUCUCUGCAGCCCCUCACGCCAUCCUCCUAGUCACUUUCUGAGGUGUGUGUGGUCAUCCUCCCAUUUGCAGGAGGGCUCUGAAGCACAGGAAGGUUCGAUACUUACCCCAUGGCCGGGAUAAGAUGGGCCAGGGCCAGGCUGUGAACUAAGGCAGAGAAGGGGCUCUCCAGCACCUUUCCUGAGCCCUUGCCUCCUCUGCCUCUGCCCCAUGGCCAUCUGGUGGGUGGACACAGCUAAGCCAUGGCUAGAACCCAGCAUUCUCAUGACUGCUUUAACCAUAGAAAAUCACAAGUUGCAAGCAACGGGACACACAUUUACUUGUCUACAUUAGCACUUGUGAUGAAGAUAAUUCAUGCUAUUUUUUUCCCCAUUCGGAACGUACCUGUCCUUAGAAUAGUUAGAGAAGUUUUAUGAGGAUUGUGUAACUAGCAUUAACUUAGGUCACCUAAUUCUUGAUCAACCAAAUCGCAGGUCAAACAAAGGAGGCCUAUGCCUUCAUAGAAAGCAUCAGUUAAUGUCCAUUUAAAAACUGAUGCUGGCCGGGCCCGGUGGCUCAUGCCUGUAAUCCCAGCACUUUGGGAGGCCGAGGCGGGUGGAUCACGAGCUCAGGAGAUCGAGACCAUCCUGGCUAACACGGUGAAAACCCAUCUCUAUUAAAAAUACAAAAAUUAGCUGGGCGUGGUGGCACAUGCCUGUAAUCCCAGCUACUUGGGAGGCUGAAGCAGGGAGAAUUGCUUGAACUCUGGAGGUGAAGGUUACAGUGAACCAAGAUCGUGUCAUUUCACUACAGCCUGGGUGACAGAGCGAAAGUCUGUCUCAAAAAAAAAAAACAAACAAACUGAUGUUGCAUCUUCCAGUCUAAAAUAAAAAUACAUUGUUAACCAUUUUUAUGUUUACAAAACCUACAGUUUUAUAGUUCUAAAAGUAGUACAUGUUCAUUACUU